rnacentral:ncRNA from 1 species
UUCUUAUCCAGAGAGAUUGAGGGAUCUGGCCCUAUGAAAUCUCAGCAACCAACACAAUGUGUGGGUGCUCCUUCCAGCAAGCAUUCGCUUGAGAGAUGAGAA